rnacentral:rRNA from 1 species
UAGUGAUUAGAGUUUGAUCAUGGCUCAGAUUGAACGCUGGCGGCAUGCCUUACACAUGCAAGUCGAACGGUAACGCGGGGCAACCUGACGACGAGUGGCGAACGGGUGAGUAAUAUAUCGGAACGUGCCCAGUAGUGGGGGAUAGCCCGGCGAAAGCCGGAUUAAUACCGCAUACGACCUACGGGUGAAAGCGGGGGAUCGCAAGACCUCGCGCUAUUGGAGCGGCCGAUAUCAGAUUAGGUAGUUGGUGGGGUAAAAGCCUACCAAGCCGACGAUCUGUAGCUGGUCUGAGAGGACGACCAGCCACACUGGGACUGAGACACGGCCCAGACUCCCACGGGAGGCAGCAGUGGGGAAUUUUGGACAAUGGGCGCAAGCCUGAUCCAGCCAUGCCGCGUGCGGGAAGAAGGCCUUCGGGUUGUAAACCGCUUUUGUCAGGGAAGAAAUCUCCUGGGCUAAUACCCCGGGGGGAUGACGGUACCUGGAGAAUAAGCACCGGCUAACUACGUGCCAGCAGCCGCGGUAAUACGUAGGGUGCGAGCGUUAAUCGGAAUUACUGGGCGUAAAGCGUGCGCAGGCGGUUGUGUAAGACAGAUGUGAAAUCCCCGGGCUCAACCUGGGAACUGCAUUUGUGACUGCACGGCUGGAGUGCGGCAGAGGGGGAUGGAAUUCCGCGUGUAGCAGUGAAAUGCGUUCACAC